UCUACCUGUCUAAGCCAACGCAGAGAAAUCCAGCAGCGAACAUCGGUGCUCAGGGCUCAUCGUAAACACAAGCCAAGGUAACCACACAAGGUUCUUGGUUCCACCUGCCUGUUUUUGCUGGAUUUUGACUUCGAGUCAAAUACAAGAAAAACCUUAUACAGUGCCUGGAAUGGAGCUGACCCAAGCCAUGUGCUGUCGUUUAAGAUUUCAAAGAAGGCCCUGAGACAGAAAUUGGAAAGAUGUGGUGGUAUUUGAGGUGAGACUGUCAAUUGCCACUGGAGAUCAGAAGUGGGCUUAAGAGCCGUGACCAGGGACACUGGUGUCUGCUGCAAAUGCUUUGUAACUUCAUAUUGUAUGUAUGGAAUAUUCACAAGUUCUUCAGAUCCAUGGCUGUCUAACUGGUGGGAGGAAAAGAAGAGACAAAUCAUGGAGAACUACAAAGCAUCUUCACUAUUGUAGGAAACAAACCAGGCACAUACCAUACCUUUAGCCCUGGUACUUGGAACUUUAGUGAGAUUAGUUACGUGCACAAGUCCCAUUUGAGCUUUUCCCAUCUUGGGCUUCAGAAUACCUCUUUACGUGGACUGAUGAUCUGCAUAAGUUCAACAAUAGCCAGCGCUCACUGAGUGCUUUCCAGGUGUACGGUACGUUCAUCAAUUAUCUCAUCAAAUCCCUGAGUUGAGUGCUACUGUGAUUGUCAUCCUCAUGUUACAGAUAAGGUCAAGGUCAUUCAUAUACUUAUUGGUAGAACAGGAAUUAGGACCUAUGACUCCUAACAUCAAAAUACGAUAGCUGGGAAUUCUUUAGGUUCGUGUUCUCAAGUGUCUUGAAACUGUGAUGUACUAUAAUUCCCAAA